UGCGGCAGCUAUGACUUAGGUUCCUCCCA
rnacentral:piRNA from 1 species